GGGGAAUGGGAUUCUUAGCAAGUUAUGGCGGUAAGACCCAAACCUUGCCAUUUUUUUUAUCCUAAUCUACAAUUCAUGUAUUGUUGUCUCAAGAUAAAAUCCACAUAAAGUUCCCCAUGAUUUUAAAGAGAUAAGAAACUCUUGGCUACCUCCUGAAAAAUAUGUUUGUUCUUGUUUCAUUUGUGGGUAUCUUAAUUCACCCCUUGAGCUCACAUGACAGAUAGGCUGGCUUUGCCACAAGAUUGACCAUUGUGCGAUUCUGUUUCACCUUAAAGGGUUAUUAUCCUUUUCCCAUAAAUUUUCACAGCAUUAAUCCAUCAAUUUUUGAUUUGGUAUUCAGGAAGCGAAUGUAGACCAUGAUGUAUUAUUUAUUCAGCAUAGAUUCCAGACAGCCAGUUCCUUAGAAAUCCAUGUCAUAAUACCAUAUUAUUAGUUUGGGAAUAAAGAGGGGAGUAGGAAUGGGUUUUAGAAAGAUCAGAAUUCAAUUUUAAAUGAUGCAGAGUUGUUUUAAAAUUAUAUGUCAAUACAGUGCAACUUUACAAUGAGCAGAAGGCAUGGCCUCCUGCUGUAGCAACCUGGAAAACACUUCACUCUCUACUUUAAGUUGUAGCUCAACCUACUGUUUCAUACGCUCUCAGAAUGCAAGAUUAAUUCACAGUCGAUUAAAAAUCACUGAGCACUACUCAACAAAGCACAUCAAUAAUUUUACUAAUUGUUCAAAUCAUUAAUCCUAAAGGAGCUCAUCAUGAUAGCUCCACUAAAAACAGACCUUCUACAACAGCGAAGCCAGCUGUUAACCAUUACUCUUACCCUUGUCCUGACCCAAAAUCAUCUCUUCUGUCUUCACCUGCCUUGGAAAUGCAACAUCUCCACUGAAUAUUUGAUUCAGACUUGGCUCUUUAAGAACAAUUUCUGUGCAAUAAGUAGCACAAUACAGGGAUAGGAAAACAGGUUUAUCCUACUAACUUGAUUUGAGCAAAUGAUUUAACUUCUAUGGAAGCCAGUCUCCUCAUUUGUAAAAUGAAGAGCAGUGGUGAAGGAUGUAGUUAUAUAAUGCAGGUAAAGUGCAAAGCCCCAAACCCAGCAUGUAUCAGGGACUUAACCUCAUCCAUUUGUUCACCAAUAUUUACUCUGAUAUUUAUUCAUCCCUCUGCUGUAAUUACUGUGCUAGACACUGAGGAUGCAGCAGUGAAUCAGGCAAGCAUCCUCCCCUCAUGGAGCUUACAGUCUUUUGGGGUAUACAAGCAGUAAAUAUGAUUACUGUAAAUAAACUGCUAUGAAGAAAAUAUGCCAGGGGUAUGCUAGUAACUGAGGAGAUGUGGCCUGCAUUGAACAGCAUGGUUUUGGGGAAGGUGAUCUGAGCCGAGACCUCUCAAAGAUAAAAUGCCCCUUUCUAGUGAAAAGUUGGGGAAUGGGCAAGCCAGGCAGAGAGAAUAAAAAGUGCAGAGGCUUAAAGACAGGAGAAACAUGUGGUAGCCCAGGAGCAGAAGGAGGCUGAGUGGCUACAGUGUUAUGAGAGAGUAAGCCAGGAGCGCCUGUGGGAAUUGGCACCAGAGAGGUCCUCAGAAGCCAGGUCUUCAAGGUCAUGGACACAUGGGAAGGAGGGAUUUGGAAUUUACUGCAAGAACAAUAGGCAGGGUUUCAAGAAGCCAGGGUCAGUUAUGGGCUGACUUGCAGUCUUCAAUGUGGAAAAUGUUUUGCUAUUGGCAAAGUGGCAAGGGGGAGGCCAGUUAGGACACUAUUGCAAUAGGCAAGGCAAGAGAUGAGAAAGGAUUGAAUGGGGGUAAGAGCAGAGAGAAGUGCGCAAGAUCCAGUGCAUGUGCUGAGGGAAGACCGGCAGGACUUGCGUAGUUAGAUGUCUGGGGAAGAAAGGAUUCAGGAUGACUCCCGUAUUUUAUAUGUCCGUAGUUUGCUCUCCAUUAUGAUAACAUCUCGGGCUCUUUACUUUUCAUGCCCUGCUUCAGGAUCUUCGCACCUGAUAUUUCCUCUGCACACAAUACUCCUCUAGAUGUUGGCAUUUCCUUCGAUAUCUUCUCAAAUGUCUCCUAAUCAUCCUAUAAAACAGCACCAACCCUCUAUCCCAAUCACUCUCCUUGCCUUAUUCAUCUUCAGAGCAUGUAACUACUUGACAUUGGUUGAUUUGUCUGUAAUUGUCUGAUUCCCACAGCAGAAAUUUCAGCUCCGUGACAGCAAAGGUUUUGUCUGUCUGUUCACUGUUACAGCCCCAUAACCUAAAACCAUGUGUGGCAUAUAUGUCUUGAAUGAAUUAAUGAGAAUACAAGUGAAUGAAUGAAAUGCUUUGUUGCUAUAGAUCUUGUCUAUAGAUGACUACCUUUCUGGUCAAGGCUUUGGACAUCUCUUCAGUCAUCAGACAGAGUAUCUCUGCUCUAGACCUCGCUGGAGUUCAAGCUUGAAUUAUUAUAUGCAAGUUAAUUUUACAAGCCUGGAUGAGGCUACUGAAAACUGGAAAAAAGCUACGAGACUGUAACAACCCUUCAUUCUUUUUCAUUUCCAAAGCUCUCUCCCCAUCUCAAGCUAGAAAAUAGUGUAACCAGACUACACAAUGGAACCACUCCUAAAAAAAUUAAUAUUAGCCUCUCAGCUUUUAUCUAAAUGUACCACAGUUUAAGAGCCUUGUAAAAUUUGUUCCACAACUUUACUAUAGGAAACCUUAUUAUAGAAGGGACACCACAGAACUCAAUGGCCCACACAUCAAAGUCCUCGAGUUUAGGACUGAAGAAAAGUCUGCUUUUGUAGAAAAUGUGUAUGCUUCAUGUUCUCUUUUACCAGACAAUGAGAAUAACUCAUACUGAUUCCUCAUUUUUCCUUGACUUCCAGGAAUGUCUGUGAUAAAUUCAGGGGACAAUUGCGAGAAUUAUCCUCAGCCAUAAGUCCCUCACAUGGUUAUCACCUGUCCAUUAUGUAUCUUUUUGUCCUUCAUUUUAACAUUUCUUUUAUACAUGGAUCUUAAAGCUGCCUGAAAUUCUUUCUGAAGGUAGAUGGUUACAUAAUAAGUGACAGGGAACCAUGAACUUGGAUGGUUUAUAAAGAACCUAGAUUCCGGACCUGCCUCUUUAGCAACAGCUGGAUGACCACUUCAGUCAUUUAUACCUCAGUGCCCACUUUUAACAUCCUUAAACAAGGACUAAUUGUCUCAAGUAAUUUUCUUCAAGUCCUAAGGUUUUUACUGGCAGAGCUAAGACCUCUUAACGUGUCUGAGAAGAGGCACAGUUUUCACUAGUUUAAUUGCAACUGAUUUAUGCUGCUGUCAACACCAUAGCAUCCAAAAAUAACUUCUAAAUGACAAUCCAUUUCUAACUCACCACACCCUCAAAGUAUUUUGUCUACCCCAUAUUAAUUAGCUAAUUUUCAUUUAUGUUUAAAAAUAUAUAUAUAGAUUUUUUUUUUUUACCUCUUCAAGCCGUGUUCUUGUGGAGAAUUGAUUUGUUGUACCCAUUACCAUGUGGGCUAUGGAAGAUGAGCCAAGUUCAAACCUAGAGAGGGAAAUAUUCAAAAACGGGUUGUGAAAUACUUAUUCAUUUAACAUAUAUUUUAAGGGCCUCCUAUAUAUAAUAGCUUUCAGCUAAAAACUGAUCGGUGUGAAAAAUACAAAAUAUGAUGUCUAUCCAAUGGGUUAAGAUCUAGCUGUAAAGAAUAAUACACACCAACAGCCUAAUAAAAGGUUAAGUAUCCAACAGAAAAUGACAGAAGCAGGAAAUGCUAUAAGAGUUAGACAAAGACAGAUGUGAACAAGCAAAUGUGUUCAUGGAAGGCCUGGGCUGAACUGUGAGGAGGAAGGCUUCAGAUAUGUCCAUGGGCUCAGGAAGGGGUUAUGCCAGAUGGAAUGGAAAACAUCCCUGUCCAGAUUCACUAGUUAGCACUGAAGUCCAGUUUUAUGUUUUCUACAAAUAUUUUAGGUAUUUCUACUGCCUAUCUUCAAUCAAAAAGUACCUUUAGACUGUUACUGUUCUUUUACAAACAGCAAGGCUAAAACACAGUAAGGUUAUGAACUUAUCCAGUCACAGCACAAUUUUUGGCACCACUUACUUUUGUACAAGUUUGUUCCAGUUUUUCCUCAGAAAUUGCCAGGCCAGUGGGUAUCCUACUGGGUUCCUGCCAAUGAGUGUAAGAAUUUGUGGAAACUCCUGAGUUUUUAUUUUAUCUCCCUUAAAGCUUUCAUCUAGUAGCCUAGAAGGAUUAAGAAAAGAAAUGUUAGCAAUGAAUAGGUGAUGAAACAGUUAUGAAUCACUGCAAUAAAAUUACUUGUAAAAGAAAAAAAAGUCUGCCAGUAACAAAGGUUAAAAAGAUAAAUGGGUAACCACAAUCCUGAUAAACCCACUAUAGCUACAUAAUAAAAACUAACAUUUAUAUAGUGUUCAUAACACCCAUUCUCAUAUACCCUCUCAUUUGCUCAAAAGAAUAGUUAAGGAAGAGUAGCUCUAGUAAAUAUUUUUAAUAUGUUGUCAUUUUAAAGAUGCACAAAUGUAUACACCUUUAAAUAUUUUUCCUAACACCUGGUUCUCCCUAAUUAUUUGCCUUUCUCAUUAGAUGUGUGCUGACUUGCAGUAUGUUCCCAGCAGGAUAGGCAAUUCCUGGCCAAGAAAACAAAAAUAGAUGCCAGAAUGAUCUAAUCUAAUCUAAUUUCCCUUGGCCACAUGAACAUGAAUGAAUGACGGACUCACCAUUGAAGCUUUUCCUUAUUUUGGGUUCUGCAGAGGGCAAAUUCAAUUUGGCUUUUCUCAGUACUGGACAAAGAAAACUGAUAUUUACUAUAAAGAAAAUCCCAGCCUUCUGUGCUCUGGGCCCCCACAGCAAACACUGCCAAGGUCACGUCGACAGGCAGGCUAUAGAAAGGAACACACUCGGAGGCCCAGUAUGGUGGUGAGAAGAACCAGAAGGCACUCAAAAUUUAGGCCAGAAGGAUACGGGUAUGAGGAGAAAGAGAUAAUCCUUCCCACCUGCAUGCUUCCUCUUAGGACUUUAGGUCUGCCUACAUGUUGAAGAAGUUUGAGUUUUAGGCUUUGGGAGCAUUUCCUUAAAAACCAUUGUCAUGGGGGAGGAAAAAAAAAGGGUAGUGUUAAUUCUGUCUUCACACACUCAGAGAUCAUUUGGUUGGGCUACAUUUUAUGAGCUAUAUUCCAUAAAGAUGCUGCAAAGUUCAGGUAUCUGGUUUAGGAAAGAAAAAAAAAUCCCUUCUUUAACCCAAGAAAUGUAAUGCAAACAACUUGGGCCUGUGUCACUUAGUCUUCUAAGAAGACUUCAAGGCUGUUAUAAAGACCCAGUGGUGGGAGAAACCUGAUCCGGUAUAGCGGGGCCAGAAGAAGCUGCGGGACCAUGCCGCGGGGACAAGGCAAGGAGUUUCGCCAGGAUGUUGAUCUCCUGGUUAUCUACACUUCCGCCUCAGUAUGAUCUGAAUUAUUAAUGAGAAAGAUUAAGAUACAGAUUCCUUCCUUCAAGUGCCUUAGUAGUCACAGACAGGAGGUUAAUUAUAAGACUAAAAGCAAUCUUGGGUUGUUAGAAGAACUUAAAGGAAAACACCUUUCAACUUCUUGUUAUCAAUCAAUCAUUUUUGUCUUUAGAAAUCAAGAAUUUGAACAAUAACAGCUGCUUUCAGAAAUAAACCGCGACUUUGUGCAGCGUGUAUUACCUGACGAGCUGAAAUGCAUUGUUAAUGAGACUCGCCCGAUCAUUACUGCUGACUGCUGUGUGUGUUCCUUUUAAAAGGCCAGUCAAAGAGUCCCAUCCAUCAUCCUCGUAAUGCACAAUGUAAUAGCCAUUCAUGCCCACAUUAAAUUUGAUCCAUUCCACCUCUUCUGGGAGGAUGAGCACAUCUAGAGUAAAUAAAAUAAAUCAAAGUUC
rnacentral:lncRNA from 1 species